AGUGAACGCUGGCGGUAUGCCUAAUACAUGCAAGUCGAACGGAAGCACAGUAAGAGCUUGCUCUUAAUGGUGGCGAGUGGCGGACGGGUGAGGAAUAGAUAGGAAUCUAAUAUUUCGUGGGGGACAACGUAGAGAAAGUGACGAUAAUAGAGAAUACGAUCUACGGGUGAAAGCAGAGGAGAUUCGGACCUUGCGCGAUUGAAAGAGACGGUGUCGGAUUAGCUAGUUGGCGAGGUAAAGGAACACCAAGGCGACGAUACGUAGCUGGUCUGAGAGGAUGAUCAGCCACACUGGAACUGAGACACGGUCCAGACUCCUACGGGAGGCAGCAGUAGGGAAUAUUCGACAAUGGGCGCAAGCCUGAUCCAGCCAUGCCGCGUGAGUGAAGAAGGCCUUCGGAUUGUAAAACCCUUUUAUUAGGGAAGAAAAGCAGUAUGUUAAUACCCCGCUGUUCUGACGGUACCCAAAGAAUAAGCACCGGCUAACUUCGUG
rnacentral:rRNA from 1 species